ACACUAAUUCCAUUCACUCAAACAACCCUAAUUACAUCCACACCAGCUGCGCUCUCUCUCUCUCUGAAAGAAACCACUCACCUUGUAACUCAGUUUCAUUCAUCGUCGCCUCUCUUCUACCUAUCUCUCCUUCAUCAUCUCAUCGCAUCAACUGAGUAACAAAGUCACUCAAACCUCCCUCAGUCUCACCGAUGGACAACAUUGACACAGAUCUGGAAAAUAAAAUACCAGAAAAUAACUUUCAGUCACCAUAUCUUGUUGCUUUUGCUGCCAUUAUUGCCUAUACUCAGUGCUGCUAUUACUGCCUAUACUGUUAAUUUGAGGGAGCUUUGUUAGGAAAUUAAGCUGAAGGAAUUAAUACUCACUUAUGGAUGACAUUGAUAUUUAUAUGGACAAUGAAUCAACCCAAAAUUGGAAUCAUAUCUUAAACUUUGAUUGAUGUUGUGCACCCUUUGGAGUAGAUGUUGAUAGAUGAUGCAAAAUGAAGCCCAACUCAAUGGUGGCUGGUGGAGUGGCUGGUGACAGUGGCAACAAUUAUGGAAGAAUGUCAAUACCAAUUUUUGAUUUAUAAUGGGCUGUAAUAUAUUUUUAAUGGUCUGUAAAAUAUAUAAUAUAUAUCUGUAUUAUGUAGUACAACUAAGCUGAAUUUGGUGAUCAAGGUAAGGUGAUCAAGUCAAGCUUAACAAAAUAAUAUGCUAACAAAAACUGAAUGUGUGAAUGAGACCGUCAAGCAGGAUGAAUAUGAAAGUGAAAAUGGCAGUCAAGAGAAAACAGAUUUUAGCAGUUUGAAUGCUGCCAGCUUGUUGAUAUAUUUAAAUUUAUCCUUUUAUUUGA